GCCGGGUGCAGUGUUAGGUGCCUGUAGUCCCAGCUAUAAUAUUUGGGAGGCUGAGGUAGGAGGAUUGCUUGAGACCAGGAGUUCUGGGCUGUAGUGCUCUAUGCUGAUUGGGUGUCCACAAUAAGUUUGGUAUCAAUAUGGUGACCUCCAGGUAGUGAAGGGCCACCAGAUUGCCUAUGGAGGGGCGAACUGGUCCAGGUUGAACAUGUAAGAGGUCAAAACUUGGUAGUGGGAUUGCGCCUGUGAAUAUCCACUGCACUACACUCUGGCUACACAACAUAGCCAGACCCUGUCUCU
rnacentral:SRP_RNA from 1 species